rnacentral:rRNA from 1 species
GAUGGACCCUCGGUGCAUUAGCUAGUUGGUGAGGUAACGGCUCACCAAGCUUACGAUGCAUAGGGGGACUGAGAGGUUAACCCCUCACAUUGGUACUGAGACACGGACCAUACUCCUACGGGAGGCAAGCAGUGAGGAAUAUUGGUCAAUGGACGCAAGUCUGAACCAGCCAUGCCGCGGGCAGGAAGACGGCUCUAUGAGUUGUAAACUGCUUUUGUACUAGGGUAAACGCUUCUACGUGUAGGAGCCUGAAAGUAUAGUACGAAUAAGGAUCGGCUAACUCCGUGCCAGCAGCCGCGGUAAUACGGAGGAUCCAAGCGUUAUCCGGAUUUAUUGGGUUUAAAGGGUGCGUAGGCGGUUUGAUAAGUUAGAGGUGAAAUACCUGGGGCUCAACUCCGGAACUGCCUCUAAUACUGUUGAACUAGAGAGUAGUUGCGGUAGGCGGAAUGUAUGGUGUAGCGGUGAAAUGC